GAAAAUUAGAGAUUCUCUUUCAUUGGGAUUCCAGUCUACUAAGGUGACAGGCAUCGAACAAUUGACUGUGGCUUCCAUCUGAGUGGAUAUGUAAUCUGUCUAAAGAGACUAGAAAGAAGAUUAACCAACCUCUUCACCACAUACUAAGGUCCUUCUCCCUCCCAUCUUUGGAUGGUUGGCUGUAAAACUUGAGAGCUUGGAAAUGCAGUAUCCUGUGGCUGCUGAAUCACGGACCAUUCCUCUGUGAAACCCUAACACAGAUACUUACCCCUCAGAAUUAUUUUGAAGACUGAAUGGUAUAGCAUGUGCAAAGUUCAUACCACUGGCCUGGAAUAGAAAGGUAAUUAUAGAAGAUGUAGCUGUGAGGAUGGGGAGGUGGAGGUA
rnacentral:lncRNA from 12 species